CUACGGGCUGCAGCAGUUAGGUAUAAUCUACAAUGCACGAAAGUGUGAUAGUUUGAAUCAGAGUGCUUUGCUUUGCAAAGCUUUUGUGAAAUGUAAAAAGUUUCACGAAUAAGGACUGGGUAAGACUAGUGCCAGCCGCCGCGGUAAUACUAGCGGUCCAAGUCGCAGCCAUUUUUAUUGGGUCUAAAACAUCCGUAGCUUGCUUUGUAAGUUCCUUGUGAAAUCCUAUAUCUCAAAUAUAGGGCGGGCAAGGAGUACUGCUAAGCUAGAGACUGGGAGACGUAACGAGUACGUUUGAGGUAGCGGUAAAAUGUGUUAAUCUCAGACGGACUAACAAUAGCGAAGGCACGUUACGAGAACAGUUCUGACAGUAAGGGAUGAAGGCCAGGGGCGCAAAACGGAUUAGAUACCCUCGAGUC
rnacentral:rRNA from 1 species